GAGUGACUGUAAACACGAAGAAUGUUAGUACGACCAACGCCUGUCCUCUCCUUUUUACAGUCCUCUCACGGCUGAUGAGUAACUGUGGGAUUUAUUUCAUGAUCAGUUAGUUUUUUAGCAAGGGGGAUGUAAUAUGUUGGCAUGCAGCUGACAACAUAAUUGCUACUAACACUACUGGAGCGGAGAACCGUCUGUUGCUACUAAUACCGACAUUUGAAUGAGGAAUGAAUAGGUUAUAUUCUCGUUAGCGCUUCAGUUAUUGAUAGUAUGUGAUCAUCUCAGCUUGGAUGGCUACCUUUAAAUAUACUAUAUUUCUUAACCUCUAUAUUUACCUCAUUCGCAGGAAUUAGCAAUCUAGGUCGUACGAUCACAAGGUGUAAACUGUGAAGAUGUAAGAUCACAAAUAUGUGAUUAGAAAGUUCUUAAGUGAACCUUCUAGUGCUGAUGAAACAAUCAGAACUGAAAGCAAUGGAGUUCUAGAACAUAUUCAAAAAACAAAACAAAAAAAUAUUCCAAAAACCUAUUCUUAAAAUCUGUUUAGAUCACUAAAAUAGUAGAAUGCCAUCUAAAAACCCGCAUGGCUGCUCAAAUGUGAUUAACAGAACUGACACGUGUCAUACGCAUAAACCCCCUCCUCAUCCUGUACGGAGUGAUCAAAGCUACAUGCUAGGUCUCGUGUCUGUUAGUAACUGACAAACGGACCACAGCUAUUGCUUCACAAGAGACCAAGCCGGUCUCUCAAGCAGCCAGUUCCCAGGAUUACAUCAGCACAGCGUGUGCAACAAUUGCUUUCCAGAGCUGGGGCGGAGGGGACAAAGAGGAACAAAGAGAAUUGAGACACAAUAUGUGGGGGGAAAAAAAAUUAUAUAUAUAUAUAUAUAUAUAUAUAUGUAUAUAGGACUGAUGACCUUUUUAAAAAAAGAAAAAAAAAGCUACACCGACGGAGUCGCAUUUGAAUAUAUGUGGGCCUGAACUGAAGGAGUACAGCAACAUUGUGCAAUUUAAGCAGAAAAAAAUUUGUCAUUCAAUAUUUAGAAAAUGCCAGGUGUGAACAGAGCUUGACUUAUUUCCUGGAUGUUUGGGGUUUCUGAGAGGUCAGCAGCAAUGUUGCACGAGGCACGUGGCGCAACUUUGAGCUGUUGGUCUGGUGCUGUGCGCUUCAUUGGCUACCUGAUACGUGGUGCGUAGUUGAUGUGAUCUUUGCUGAGAAUCAGAUAUUAAUCUCUGCAAUCCUAUGAUCCGAAUAAAAUUUCAGGAAUGGCAGCAUCAUCUGUUACAUAUUCACUAACCCGGCAGAGGUUGUGGCGACUGUUCAGCAGGUUGUCUACUUCUGUGUAAAACCAGUUUAUAAUGAUAUACUGAAAGCCAUUUGCUCUGCUUUGAUGUCAUAGAGAAGCUGACAAUGAGACAUUUCUUCCUUUGUUUAAUAAACAGGAUUAUAUAAAAAAAAAGGACCAUGUUAGGCACUGGGGAAGUGCUGUCUCUUUUAGCCAAUACAAUCUUAUAUAUAACACGUAUUGAUGUCUUAAAUGAAUGAGAUGACAAAAUAUCAGUGUAGGUUCUGUUGGCAGGAGCCCAGGUUGAACUCUUAACUAAAAGUCCCACAAAGGAGGAAGAAUAAAUCUAUAAAAGUAGCAUAUUUUGAUAAACUAGUCAAACCUGUCUAGCCAUUGUGGCUGUUUGGCAGUUCCACAAAGGAAUGUGCCAACACAGGCCUUUUCUUUUCAUUGUGAGCCAGAGGAGAGCCAUGGUAGAUGAAAUAUGUGAUAGCAACCAGGCACCACUGCUGCGAAUAUGAAACUGCACACUGGACAGAAGGACAAGAUAGAAAUCUACAGUGCUUAGAUGAGGACUUGAGCGAUCCAUCUUCAGAAACCUUCCUUGACAAAUGACAGAGGCGUGAUUACUGGCAAUAAAUGUCUGGUUGUUUCUGGAGAAACUGUAGAAGAUAUGAUUUUGAAUGUCCUAGAUUUAUAUCCUGUACUUGAAAUCCUAUGAGCAGGCUAGCAGGCCAGUAGCAACCUUAACAACCCUGAUAUGUAGUAAUUAUCACAUUCUGAGAUUGUGACACAUACACACAUUCCCAUUUUAAAAACACAAGUGGUCUGUUAGUCCUGGCUGCACCAGUCCCACAGAAAGAAACCGUAUUCCCAUGAUGAGUAAGCAUUUGCAACUGAUGUUAACUUAAAACAUUUUACAGUGCAUCCUAGGCUAUCAUUUUGAAGCCAUAGCUCUGCAGUAGGGUUAUAAAUAUCCACUGAUAUACUGUAACUGUCAAUACAUAUGCUGCAUGUGCUAAUUAUAUAUGUUUAUGUAAUUUUUUAUCAAGGAGUGUCUGCGCACUAGAUAAUACAGUAACUUGCAUGGUGUAUUAUGCGUGAUUGUUUUGUGGCUUUUUAUUAUUAGUACAAUUAGCAUGCAGAAUUUCAUUUUCUAUAUUUGAUAUUUUUAAUAAAAUGUUUUGCUUUGG